rnacentral:rRNA from 1 species
GAUGAACGCUGGCGGCGUGCCUAAUACAUGCAAGUCGAGCGGACAGACGAGGAGCUUGCUCCUCUGACGUUAGCGGCGGACGGGUGAGUAACACGUGGAUAACCUACCUAUAAGACUGGGAUAACUUCGGGAAACCGGAGCUAAUACCGGAUAAUAUAUUGAACCGCAUGGUUCAAUAGUGAAAGACGGUUUUGCUGUCACUUAUAGAUGGAUCCGCGCCGCAUUAGCUAGUUGGUAAGGUAACGGCUUACCAAGGCAACGAUGCGUAGCCGACCUGAGAGGGUGAUCGGCCACACUGGAACUGAGACACGGUACAGACUCCUACGGGAGGCAGCAGUAGGGAAUCUUCCGCAAUGGGCGAAAGCCUGACGGAGCAACGCCGCGUGAGUGAUGAAGGUCUUCGGAUCGUAAAACUCUGUUAUUAGGGAAGAACAAAUGUGUAAGUAACUAUGCACGUCUUGACGGUACCUAAUCAGAAAGCCACGGCUAACUACGUG